rnacentral:rRNA from 1 species
GACGAACGCUGGCGGCGUGCUUAACACAUGCAAGUCGAACGAAGAGCGAUGGAAGCUUGCUUCUAUCAAUCUUAGUGGCGAACGGGUGAGUAACGCGUAAUCAACCUGCCCUUCAGAGGGGGCAACAGUUGGAAACGACUGCUAAUACCGCAUACGAUUUAAUCUCGGCAUCGAGGAUAGAUGAAAGGUGGCCUACAUGUAAGCUAUCACUGAAGGAGGGGAUUGCGUCUGAUUAGCUAGUUGGAGGGGUAACGGCCCACCAAGGCGAUGAUCAGUAGCCGGUCUGAGAGGAUGAACGGCCACAUUGGGACUGAGACACGGCCCAGACUCCUACGGGAGGCAGCAGUGGGGAAUCUUCCGCAAUGGACGAAAGUCUGACGGAGCAACGCCGCGUGAGUGAUGACGGCCUUCGGGUUGUAAAGCUCUGUUAAUCGGGACGAAAGGCCUUCUUGCGAAUAGUGAGAAGGAUUGACGGUACCGGAAUAGAAAGCC